CCUACGGGGUGCUGCAGUGGGGAAUAUUGGACAAUGGGGGCAACCCUGAUCCAGCCAUGCCGCGUGUGUGAAGAAGGCCCUCGGGUUGUAAAGCACUUUCAGUGAGGAAGAACGCCUGGUGGUUAAUACCCAUCAGGAAAGACAUCACUCACAGAAGAAGCACCGGCUAACUCCGUGCCAGCAGCCGCGGUAAUACGGAGGGUGCGAGCGUUAAUCGGAAUUACUGGGCGUAAAGCGCGCGUAGGUGGCUUGAUAAGCCGGUUGUGAAAGCCCCGGGCUCAACCUGGGAACGGCAUCCGGAACUGUCAAGCUAGAGUGCAGGAGAGGAAGGUAGAAUUCCCGGUGUAGCGGUGAAAUGCGUAGAGAUCGGGAGGAAUACCAGUGGCGAAGGCGGCCUUCUGGACUGACACUGACACUGAGGUGCGAAAGCGUGGGUAGCAAACAGGAUUAGAUACCCGUGUAGUC
rnacentral:rRNA from 1 species